CACCCAACUGAAAUAUUUAAA
rnacentral:miRNA from 1 species